rnacentral:piRNA from 1 species
CUCCUUCUGACCAUGCUGCCUU